rnacentral:rRNA from 1 species
AGCUCCAAUAGCGUAUAUUAAAGUUGUUGCAGUUAGAACGCUCGUAGUCGGAUUUCGGGGCGUUCCGACCGGUCUGCCGAUGGGUAUGCACUGGCCGGAGUGUCCUUUUUGCCGGAGACCGUGCCUACUCUUAACUGAGCGGGGGCGGGAGACGGCACUUUUACUUUGAAAAAAUCAGAGUGUUUCAAGCAGGCAGCUCGCUCUUGCAUGGAUUAGCAUGGGAUAAUGAAAUAGGACUUUGGUGCUAUUUUGUUGGUUUCGAACACCGAAGUAAUGAUGAGAAGGGACAGUCAGGGGCACUCGUAUUCCGCAGAGAGAGGUGAAAUUCUCAGACCCGCGGAAGACGAACCACUGCGAAAGCAUUUGCCAGGGAUGUUUUCACUA